CGGAAUGCUUUACACAUGCAAGUCGAACGGCAGCAUAGAGAGCUUGCUCUCUGAUGGCGAGUGGCGAACGGGUGAGUAAUAUAUCGGAACGUACCUAGUAAUGGGGAACAACUAGCCGAAAGGUUAGCUAAUACCGCAUACGACCUACGGGUGAAAGCAGGGGAUCUUCGGACCUUGCGUUAUUAGAGCGGCCGAUAUCUGAUUAGGUAGUUGGUGGGGUAAAAGCCUACCAAGCCAACGAUCAGUAGCUGGUCUGAGAGGACGAUCAGCCACACUGGAACUGAGACACGGUCCAGACUCCUACGGGAGGCAGCAGUGGGGAAUUUUGGACAAUGGGGGCAACCCUGAUCCAGCCAUUCCGCGUGAGUGAAGAAGGCCUUCGGGUUGUAAAGCUCUUUCACAAGAGAAGAAAUCUUACUAUCAAAUAAAUAGUAAGGAUGACGGUAUCUUGAGAAGAAGCACCGGCUAACUACGUGCCAGCAGCCGCGGUAAUACGUAGGGUGCGAGCGUUAAUCGGAAUUACUGGGCGUAAAGCGUGCGCAGGCGGUUUUAUAAGUCAGAUGUGAAAUCCCCGAGCUCAACUUGGGAACUGCGUUUGAAACUGUAAGACUAGAGUGUGUCAGAGGGGGGUAGAAUUCCAUGUGUAGCAGUGAAAUGCGUAGAUAUAUGGAGGAAUACCAAUGGCGAAGGCAGCCCCUGGGAUAACACUGA
rnacentral:rRNA from 1 species